GGAGACCAGGAUGGUGUUGCUCGAGAGCGAGCAGUUCCUGACGGAGCUGACCAGGCUCUUCCAGAAGUGCCGGUCAUCGGGCAGCGUGUUCAUCACCCUGAAGAAGUAUGAUGGUCGCACUAAACCAAUCCCACGGAAGAGUUCCGUGGAGGGCCUCGAGCCCGCAGAAAACAAGUGUCUGUUAAGGGCCACGGAUGGGAAAAGGAAGAUCAGCACAGUGAGCUCCAAAGAAGUGAAUAAGUUUCAGAUGGCCUAUUCAAAUCUACUGAGAGCCAACAUGGAUGGGCUGAAGAAGAGGG
rnacentral:lncRNA from 1 species